rnacentral:rRNA from 1 species
UACGUAGGGUGCGAGCGUUAAUCGGAUUUACUGGGCGUAAAGCGUGCGCAGGCGGCCCGUUAAGACAGGUGUGAAAUCCCUGGGCUCAACCUAGGAAUUGCGCUUGUGACUGGCGGGCUCGAGUACGGUAGAGGCGGGUGGAAUUCCUGGUGUAGCAGUGAAAUGCGUAGAGAUCAGGAGGAACACCGAUGGCGAAGGCAGCCCCCUGGGCCUGUACUGACGCUCAUGCACGAAAGCGUGGGGAGCAAACAGG